rnacentral:rRNA from 1 species
ACCGGAGAGGGAGCCUGAGAAACGGCUACCACAUCCAAGGAUGGCAGCAGGCGCGCAAAUUACCCAAUCCCGACACGGGGAGGUAGUGACAAUAAAUAACAAUACGGGGUUCUUUAGGAUCUCGUAAUUGGAAUGAGUACAAUUUAAAUCUCUUAACGAGGAACAAUUGGAGGGCAAGUCUGGUGCCAGCAGCCGCGGUAAUUCCAGCUCCAAUAGCGUAUAUUAAAGUUGUUGCAGUUAAAAAGCUCGUAGUUGAAUUUCGGGGUUAGUAGGUUGGUCAUGCCUCUGGUAUGUACUGGUCUCACUGAUUCCUCCUUCCUUAUGAACCGUAAUGCCAUUAAUUUGGUGUUGCGGGGAAUUUGGACUGUUACUUUGAAAAAAUUAGAGUGUUUAAAGCAAGCUAACGCUUGAAUACAUUAGCAUGGAAUAAUGAAAUAGGACGUUCGAUCUUAUUUUGUUGGUUUCUAGGAUUGACGUAAUGAUUAAUAGGGAUAGUUGGGGGCAUUAGUAUUCAAUUGUCAGAGGUGAAAUUCUUGGAUUUAUUGAAGACUAACUACUGCGAAAGCAUUUGCCAAGGAUGUUUUCAUUAAUCAAGAACGAAAGUUAGGGGAUCGAAGACGAUCAGAUACCGUCGUAGUCUUAACCAUAAACUAUGCCGACUAGGGAUCGGAUGAUGUUAAUUUUUUAAUGACUCAUUCGGCGCCUUACGGGAAA